UUUAGAAGUAUCAGCACGUUGACAGAUCAGAUCAGGAGCGGCACUUGGCUGGAGGAGCACAAGCUCUCUGCAGCAGUAACUCCCUCUCUCACAUGCACACUUCAUACCAGAGCAACAUGCUGAUCUUCCCGACAGCACAGUAAUGACAAUAACCAGGGAUGCAGGGCUUCACUCUUCUGUCAUGGCAUAUUGAACUCCAGUAAGGGGAAGAGGAUAGGAGACGCAAACAGAAGAGCUACGGAACUUGGAAAGCAGAAUACUCGGCUACUCUGUCAGCACUGCACUGAUUUAAAAUCAAUUUUAUUAUUCAAGUCACAUUAGCACAACAGCCCUGUUCUACUACUUCUCCUGGUCCAGACCACAGAACUACUAUACAUCAUGAUGCUCAGUGGAAAGAGACAUUGUCAAGAUCUGACAGAAUGAGCCUAGAACAUCAGGACAAUCAGAGUGCCUAAGAAUAGAAGUAUUGCCACACGUCGCUGAUUUAUUACUCUGCUUCUGCUUCAGAGAAGGAUGCAAAGAACCCUGUGCCAAACAGUUGAGCGUUUCUCUCACAGAUCCAGUCAGAACCUCAAAAUCCCAUGUUCUGGUAGUAUCUUCUUGAUCAUUAGUUGUCAGCUACGAGAAGAGUGUCUUGUAAGCAAAGAGUUAGUUCCACGUUUCCUCUAGUCCCUUCCCGUGCAUGAGAGGGGGUCUGGCAGAACAGUCGCCUGGGGAGGAAAAGAUGAGAAAACGCCUUUGGGAAAGUCCACCUUCCUGAUGAGGACCCAGCACAACUCCCGGCUGUUUAGGUGUUUUUUCCUUGCUUAGGUUUUGCUGAAGGUGCAACCUAAUUUAUUGAUGGUAAUAAAUAUUUGCUUCUGCCUCGACA
rnacentral:lncRNA from 1 species